GCCCCUCUAGCUCAUGCUGGUUAGAGCAGCGGACUCAUAAUCCGUUGGUGCCGUGUUCGACUCACGGGGGGGGCACCA
rnacentral:tRNA from 1 species